GAAUUUAAUUAUUAUUUCAAAUUAGUACCCAUCUUUUAUGAACUACAAAUUGGUCCAAAAUCAACAAUAAAAAGGGACUCUUGGUUAAAAGGCCCAUUUAAGUCUUCUAUCUAAUUAAAAGAGUUUCACGUAUUUUUUCUUAGUGAAAUGACCCACUUUUUAGAUUAGAUAAAAAACUCUAAUUUAGUUGUGAUUUCGAAUUUAAUUAUUAUGCCAGAUUAGUACCCAUCUUUUAUGAAUUACAAAUUGGUCCAAAAUCAACAAUAAAAAACAAAAAUAAGAAAAAAACUCCAAAAUCUCUUUCAACGUCUUUUUUUCUUCUUUCUUCUAUUGUUCUUCUUCCACUCUCAAUCUACCCUCUGUGCAUAUGAUUGUGUGUUAUUGAGAUCCUAAAACUCCUCUUUUUUCGGUGAAGUUGGUUUCAUCAAGCUAUAUUUGGAGAAAGAUGGUGUUAAAAUUUUAAAAAAAAUAGUCAAGCUCAAUUUAAAUUCGAUUAAAGAUUGUUUUGGAGUAGCAUUAGCCUGGACUUCUGUUAAAACAUUGUAUCAAGACCUCAGUUUGAAGGUACACAAAUAAAUUUUAUAUAUUUGUAGAGUUAUUAUGCAAAUGAAAGCUGGUCUGCAAUGGACAGAUUGACCAUCAAUCUGACCGAUUAUAUAUCAGUCCUCUAUGUUAUUCAACAGCUGACCGAUCAUAGUAAUUAGUCCGACAGAUUCAUUAUAGAUUUUUUUAUUUUUUAUUUCCAUGUUUGCAAUAAUGUUUUAUUUUACUAGUUUCUAAUAACGUUACAUUAUUUAUAAUAGGUAGGUACAAAAUCAUGACAGGAGUUGUCUUACUUGUUGAUUAUUUUGGAAAGUGGGUAGAUGACAAGAAAUUGUAGAGAUAGAAUUCUCAAAAUGAUACAGUUAGAACAAUGCUUGUGAGCAGUGAUGUUACCUUUGAUAAAUUCAUGGAAACUAUCAUUAGAAGAGGUGAAUUGAGUUGAAGACAUGAUCCUGUUUGUGUCAAGUAUAUGACUCAUGCAGGUGCUUUUUCGAAGGACAAAUAUCUGAUAUCAACAUGUUAAAAAGCGAAACAAAUGUUCUCUCUGCAAGCAAGUUGUCCACAAGAAGACUACUUGUCCCGAUAAACAUCAAGUGGGACGGAGUAAGGGCCCUUCUCACCUCCUACGAGUGUGUAUCUGUCGGAUAAAUCAACAAUUUGUUAGUGAACAUAUUCAAACGA